UACAGAGGUCUCAAGCGUUGUUCGGAUUCAUUGGGCGUAAAGGGUGCGUAGGUGGCGCGGUAAGUCGGGUGUGAAAUUUCGGAGCUUAACUCCGAAACUGCAUUCGAUACUGCUGUGCUUGAGGACUGGAGAGGAGACUGGAAUUUACGGUGUAGCAGUGAAAUGCGUAGAUAUCGUAAGGAAGACCAGUGGCGAAGGCGAGUCUCUGGACAGUUACUGACGCUGAGGCACGAAGGCCAGGGGAGCAAACGGG
rnacentral:rRNA from 1 species